GACGAACGCUGGCGGCGUGCUUAACACAUGCAAGUCGAACGGAGAGGCCCCUUUGGGGGUCCUCGAGUGGCGAACGGGUGAGUAACACGUGAGUAACCUGCCCUUGACUUCGGGAUAACUUCAGGAAACCGGGGCUAAUACCGGAUAGGAAUCCUUGCUGCAUGGUGGGGGUUGGAAAGCUUCGGCGGUUUUGGAUGGACUCGCGGCUUAUCAGCUUGUUGGUGGGGUAGUGGCUUACCAAGGCUUUGACGGGUAGCCGGCCUGAGAGGGCGACCGGCCACAUUGGGACUGAGAUACGGCCCAGACUCCUACGGGAGGCAGCAGUGGGGAAUAUUGCACAAUGGGCGGAAGCCUGAUGCAGCAACGCCGCGUGCGGGAUGACGGCCUUCGGGUUGUAAACCGCUUUCAGCAGGGGCGAAGCUUGUGGUGACGGUACCUGCAGAAGAAGCACCGGCUAACUACGUG
rnacentral:rRNA from 1 species